UCCCCACACCGGUGAGAAUGCCCUUAACAUCAAUUUAGAUCAAAGGAGCAGGCAUUAAGCACACUAUUAGUAGCUCAAGAUGCCUUGCUUAACCACACCCCCAAGGGAAACAGCCAGUGAUAGAAAUUUAGCAAUGAACGCAAGUUUGACUAAGUUAUGCUACUCUAGGGUUGGUAAAUUUCGUGCCAGCCACCGCGGUCAUACGAUUAACCCAAACUAAUAAAUUCCCGGCGUAAAGCGUGAUUAGAACCAAGAACAGAAAAAAUAAAAUCAAAUAACAACUAAGCUGUAAAAAGUAAUAGUUACAAACAAAAAUAAGCAACGAAAGUGAUUUUAUAAUCUUCGAACUCACGAUAGCUAAGACCCAAACUGGGAUUAGAUACCCCACUAUGCUUAGCCCUAAACUUAAAUAAUUCCAUAACAAAAUUACUCGCCAGAGAACUACAAGCCAGAGCUUAAAACUCAAAGGACUUGGCGGUGCUUUAUACCCACCUAGAGGAGCCUGUUCUAUAAUCGAUAAACCCCGAUAAACCUUACCACUCUUUGCCAACUCAGCCUAUAUACCGCCAUCUUCAGCGAACCCUGAAAAGGAACAAAAGUAAGCUCAAUUAUCCCCAUAAAAACGUUAGGUCAAGGUGUAGCCUAUAGAGUGGAAAGUAAUGGGCUACAUUUUCUACCUCAGAACAUACGAAAGCCCUUAUGAAACUCUAAGAGCCAAAGGAGGAUUU
rnacentral:rRNA from 1 species